rnacentral:rRNA from 1 species
UUGGAGGGCAAGUCUGGUGCCAGCAGCCGCGGUAAUUCCAGCUCCAAUAGCGUAUAUUAAAGUUGUUGCAGUUAAAAAGCUCGUAGUUGAAUUUCGGGGUCAGUAGGUUGGUCGUGCCUAUGGUAUGUACUGGCUUUACUGAUUCCUCCUUCUUGAAGAACUGUAAUGUCAUUAAUUUGGUGUUGCAGGGAAACAGGACUGUUACUUUGAAAAAAUUAGAGUGUUUAAAGCAGGCUAACGCUUGAAUACAUUAGCAUGGAAUAAUGAAAUAGGACGUUCGAUCCUAUUUUGUUGGUUUCUAGGAUUGACGUAAUGAUUAAUAGGGAUAGUUGGGGGCAUUAGUAUUCAAUUGUCAGAGGUGAAAUUCUUGGAUUUAUUGAAGACUAACUACUGCGAAAGCAUUUGCCAAGGAUGUUUUCAUUAAUCAAGAACGAAAGUUAGGGGAUCGAAGACGAUCAGAUACCGUCGUAGUCUUAACCAUAAACUAUGCCGACUAGGGAUCGGAUGAUGUUAAUUUUUUAAUGACUCAUUCGGCGCCUUACGGGAAAC